AGUGAACGCUGGCGGCGUGCUUAACACAUGCAAGUCGAACGAGAACGGAAUAUAGCUUGCUAUAUUUGUCAGCUAAGUGGCGCACGGGUGAGUAAUGUAUAGACGACCUGCCCUUAAGAAAGGAAUAACAGUUGGAAACGACUGCUAAUGCCCUAUAUGCGUUUAAUACAUAAGUAUGCAAGGGAAACGCUUUAGUGCUUAAGGAUGGGUCUGUAUGGUAGCAGGUUGUUGGUGAGGUAAUAGCUCACCAAGGCUAGGACGCCUAACUGGUUUGAGAGGCUGAUCAGUCACACUGGAACUGAGACACGGUCCAGACUCCUACGGGAGGCAGCAGUGGGGAAUAUUGCACAAUGGACGAAAGUCUGAUGCAGCACCGCCGCGUGGAGGAUGACACAUUUCGGUGCGUAAACUCCUUUUAUAUAGGAAGAUAAUGACGGUACUAUAUGAGUAAGCACCGGCUAACUCCGUGCCAGCCGCCGCCGUAAGAC
rnacentral:rRNA from 1 species